CAGCAGCCGCGGUAAUACCGGCGGCCCGAGUGGCGGUCACUAUUAUUGGGCUUAAAGCGUCCGUAGCCGGGUUGGGAAGUCCUCCGGGAAAUCUGGCCGCUUAAAGGUCAGAAUGCCGGAGGAUACUCCCAGCCUAGGGAGCGGGAGAGGCCGAGGGGAUUCCCGGAGGAGGGGGGAAAUCCUAUAAUCCCGGGAGGGCCACCUGUGGCGAAGGCGCUCGGCUGGAACGCGUCCGACGGUGAGGGACGAAGGCCAGGGGAGCAAACCGGAUUAGAUACCCGGGUAGUCCUGGCUGUAAACGAUGCGGACUUUGUGUCGGACAAGCUAUGAGCUUGUCCGGUGCCGGAGGGAAACCGUUAAGUCCGCCGCCUGGGGAGUACGGCCGCAAGGCUGAAACUUAAAGGAAUUGGCGGG
rnacentral:rRNA from 1 species